rnacentral:rRNA from 1 species
AACGAACGCUGGCGGCGCGUCUUAAGCAUGCAAGUCGAGCGGUAAGGAGGUAGCUUGCUACUCCUAGAGCGGCGGACUGGUGAGUAACGCGUGGGUGACGUACCCUUUGGUUGGGGAUAGCCGGUAGAAAUACCGGGUAAAUACCGAAUAAGACCUCUGGUAGAAAGAUUAGAGAGGAAAGCGGCUUCGGCCGCGCCGAAGGAACGGCCCGCGUACUAUUAGCUAGUUGGUGAGUAACGGCCACCAAGGCGACGAUAGUUAUCCGGCCUAAGAGGGUAAACGGACACAUUGGGACUGAGAUACGGCCCAGACUCCUACGGGAGGCAGCAGCUAAGAAUAUUCCGCAAUGGAGGAAACUCUGACGGAGCGACGCCGCGUGGAUGAUGAAGGCCGGAAGGUUGUAAAAUCCUUUUGAGUGUGAUGAAUAAAGCUUACAGGAAAUGGUAAGAAGAUGACCGUAGCACUUGAAUAAGGGGCGGCUAAUUACGUG